rnacentral:rRNA from 1 species
AUACGUAGGGUGCGAGCGUUGUCCGGAAUUACUGGGCGUAAAGAGCUCGUAGGUGGUUUGUCGCGUCGUCUGUGAAAUUCCGGGGCUUAACUCCGGGCGUGCAGGCGAUACGGGCAUAACUUGAGUACUGUAGGGGAGACUGGAAUUCCUGGUGUAGCGGUGAAAUGCGCAGAUAUCAGGAGGAACACCGGUGGCGAAGGCGGGUCUCUGGGCAGUAACUGACGCUGAGGAGCGAAAGCAUGGGUAGCGAACAGGAUUAGAUACCCUGUAGUCCAUGCCGUAAACGGUGGGCGCUAGGUGUAGGGGUCUUCCACGACUUCUGUGCCGUAGCUAACGCAUUAAGCGCCCCGCCUGGGGAGUACGGCCGCAAGGCUAAAACUCAAAGGAAUUGACGGG